CAGUCGCCGCGGUAAUACGAAGGGGGCGAGCGUUGCUCGGAAUGACUGGGCGUAAAGGGCGCGUAGGUGGUACGGACAGUCAGAUGUGAAAUUCCCGGGCUCAACCUGGGGGCUGCAUUUGAUACGUCCGAACUAGAGUGUGGAAGAGGGUCGUGGAAUUCCCAGUGUAGAGGUGAAAUUCGUAGAUAUUGGGAAGAACACCGGUGGCGAAGGCGGCGACCUGGUCCAUUACUGACGCUGAGGCGCGAAAGCGUGGGGAGCAAACAGGAUUAGAUACCCGCGUAGUCCCUGUCUCUUAUAC
rnacentral:rRNA from 1 species